rnacentral:rRNA from 1 species
GAUCUUUAUUUUUAAUUUUUAUAAAAUAAAAAGAAUAUAAAUUUUUAUAAUUAAAUUAAAAAUUUUACUGGGGUGGUAUUAAAAUUUAAUUAACUUUUAUAAUUUUAAACAUUAAUAUAUGAAUAAUUGAUCCAAUUAUAUUGAUUAAAAAUUUUAGUUACCUUAGGGAUAACAGCGUAAUUUUUUUUUAGAGUUCUAAUCGACAAAAAAGAUUGC